UCAGGCGACGCUGCGCGGCUAUACAUGCAAGUCGAGCGGAUGACAGAGGAGCUUGCUCCUCUCGAUUCAGCGGCGGACGGGUGAGUAACACGUGGGCAACCUGCCCUGUAGAUUGGGAUAACUCCGGGAAACCGGGGCUAAUACCGAAUAAUCCUUCGGACCUCAUGGUCCGAUGUUGAAAGGCGGCUUCGGCUGUCACUACAGGAUGGGCCCGCGGCGCAUUAGCUAGUUGGUGAGGUAACGGCUCACCAAGGCCACGAUGCGUAGCCGACCUGAGAGGGUGAUCGGCCACACUGGGACUGAGACACGGCCCAGACUCCUACGGGAGGCAGCAGUAGGGAAUCUUCCACAAUGGACGAAAGUCUGAUGGAGCAACGCCGCGUGAGUGAAGAAGGUUCUCGGAUCGUAAAACUCUGUUGUGAGGGAAGAACAAGUACCGGAGUAACUGCCGGUACCUUGACGGUACCUC
rnacentral:rRNA from 2 species